rnacentral:rRNA from 1 species
AACGCUAGCGUCAGGCUUAACACAUGCAAGUCGAGGGGCAGCACAGGUAGCAAUACCGGGUGGCGACCGGCGCACGGGUGAGUAACGCGUAUGCAACUUACCUAUCAGAGGGGGAUAACCCGGCGAAAGUCGGACUAAUACCGCAUGAAGCAGGGGCCCCGCAUGGGGAUAUUUGCUAAAGAUUCAUCGCUGAUAGAUAGGCAUGCGUUCCAUUAGGCAGUUGGCGGGGUAACGGCCCACCAAACCGACGAUGGAUAGGGGUUCUGAGAGGAAGGUCCCCCACAUUGGUACUGAGACACGGACCAAACUCCUACGGGAGGCAGCAGUGAGGAAUAUUGGUCAAUGGCCGAGAGGCUGAACCAGCCAAGUCGCGUGAGGGAUGAAGGUUCUAUGGAUCGUAAACCUCUUUUAUAAGGGAAUAAAGUGCGGGACGUGUCCCGUUUUGUAUGUACCUUAUGAAUAAGGAUCGGCUAACUCCGUGCCAGCAGCCGCGGUAAUACGGAGGAUCCGAGCGUUAUCCGGAUUUAUUGGGUUUAAAGGGUGCGUAGGCGGCCUUUUAAGUCAGCGGUGAAAGUCUGUGGCUCAACCAUAGAAUUGCCGUUGAAACUGGGGGGCUUGAGUAUGUUUGAGGCAGGCGGAAUGCGUGGUGUAGCGGUGAAAUGCAUAGAUAUCACGCAGAACCCCGAUUGCGAAGGCAGCCUGCCAAGCCAUGACUGACGCUGAUGCACGAAAGCGUGGGGAUCAAACAGGAUUAGAUACCCUGGUAGUCCACGCAGUAAACGAUGAUCACUAGCUGUUUGCGAUACACAGUAAGCGGCACAGCGAAAGCGUUAAGUGAUCCACCUGGGGAGUACGCCGGCAACGGUGAAACUCAAAGGAAUUGACGGGGGCCCGCACAAGCGGAGGAACAUGUGGUUUAAUUCGAUGAUACGCGAGGAACCUUACCCGGGUUUGAACGCAUUCGGACCGAGGUGGAAACACCUUUUCUAGCAAUAGCCGUUUGCGAGGUGCUGCAUGGUUGUCGUCAGCUCGUGCCGUGAGGUGUCGGCUUAAGUGCCAUAACGAGCGCAACCCUUGCCACUAGUUACUAACAGGUGAUGCUGAGGACUCUGGUGGGACUGCCAGCGUAAGCUGCGAGGAAGGCGGGGAUGACGUCAAAUCAGCACGGCCCUUACAUCCGGGGCGACACACGUGUUACAAUGGCGUGGACAAAGGGAGGCCACCUGGCGACAGGGAGCGAAUCCCCAAACCACGUCUCAGUUCGGAUCGGAGUCUGCAACCCGACUCCGUGAAGCUGGAUUCGCUAGUAAUCGCGCAUCAGCCAUGGCGCGGUGAAUACGUUCCCGGGCCUUGUACACACCGCCCGUCAAGCCAUGGGAGCCGGGGGUACCUGAAGUCCGUAACCGCGAGGAUCGGCCUAGGGUAAAACUGGUGACUG